rfam:Crassostrea gigas strain 05x7-T-G4-1.051#20 contig198, whole genome shotgun sequence.
GUCUAAAUAACUCGGUGGUUAGAGCACUGGCACGGUAAGCCAGAGGCACUGGGUUCGAGUCCCGGUUGAGACU